rnacentral:lncRNA from 1 species
UGUGGACAGAAAAAAUUAUAUGAGAUGCAAUUAAUAUAAAAUAGUUUAGAUCUAAAAUUAUUUUGAUUUUUAAACUAUGUUCAUGAUGAUAAUGCACUUAAUUGAGAAUUAAAACAUAAAACUAAUGAGAUCUUAAAUUGAGAAUUUAAGAUCUAAUUUUAUUGCAUGAAACAUUGGAUUUUGGAUAUGGGUUGAACAAAUUAGGUCCAG